rnacentral:lncRNA from 1 species
AGCGACGACAACAGCAGCGGCCGAACAGCCCCAGCGGCGACGCCCCCUUCUCAGUCGUUCCUCUUCAUGGCCGCCUGAAACAGAGAAGGAAUCAGACCCGGAAUGAUGAAGAAGACCCAGAAGCAGAUCUGCAAACAAAAAAACAAAAAUAUAAAAUCGACUGCUUGUGUUCUUUUCUUUGUUUGCAGGUGACGGUGGUUGUCACCACCAGCAGAGAGGGAAAAGGGAAAGGAAGCGGAACCAGAUCUACCCGCUUCCUGUCUUUGUUCGCGGCGGCGCGUGAACCCACGCGCCGCCAGUGACGGUGGCGCGUGGAGAGACGCGCCGGAACUGUUCAUGCGGGUGCAGAAGUCCUUCCCUGCAAUUUCGGGAGUUUUGAGGGACCAUUUUGUAAAUUUUAAAGUUUUAAUGUAAUUUUUGUUUAUUUAUUUUAAAUUUGUAAUAUGUGAAUGUAAAAAAAAAAAAAAGGAAAAGAAAAGAAAAUAAUAAUAAAAAA